ensembl:Mt_tRNA
AGAGCCGUGCCUGAAUUAAAGGACCACUUUGAUAGAGUGGAUUAUGAAGGUUAAACUCCAUCCGACUCUU